rnacentral:rRNA from 1 species
AUUGAACGCUGGCGGCAGGCCUAACACAUGCAAGUCGAGCGGAUGAAGGGAGCUUGCGCCUGGAUUUAGCGGCGGACGGGUGAGUAAUGCCUAGGAAUCUGCCUGGUAGUGGGGGAUAACGUCCGGAAACGGGCGCUAAUACCGCAUACGACCUGAGGGAGAAAGUGGGGGAGCUUCGGACCUCACGCUAUCAGAUGAGCCUAGGCCGGAUUAGCUAGUUGGUGGGGUAAAGGCCUACCAAGGCGACGAUCCGUAACUGGUCUGAGAGGAUGAGCAGUCACCCUGGAACUGGGACACGGUCCUGACUCCUACGGGAGGCAGCAGUGGGGAAUAUUGGACAAUGGUCGAAAGUCUGCUCCAGCCAUGCGGCGUGUGUGAAGAAGGUCUUCGGAUUGUAAAGCACUUUAAGUUGUGAGGAAGGGCAGUAAGUUAAUACCUUGCUGUUUUGACGUUACCCACAGAAUAAGCACCGGCUAACUUCGUG